UGGGGGAUAUUGCACAAUGGGCGAAAGCCUGUUGCAGCGACGCCGCGUGGGGGAUGAAGGCUUUCGGGUUGUAAACCUCUUUCGCUAUCGAACAAGGCCCGCUUAGGGUGGGUUGAGGGUAGGUGGAGAAGAAGCGCCGGCUAACUACGUGCCAGCAGCCGCGGUAAUACGUAGGGCGCGAGCGUUGUCCGGAAUUAUUGGGCGUAAAGGGCUUGUAGGCGGCUUGUUGCGCCUGCUGUGAAAACGCGGGGCUUAACUUCGCGCGUGCAGUGGGUACGGGCAGGCUUGAGUGUGGUAGGGGUGACUGGAAUUCCAGGUGUAGCGGUGGAAUGCGCAGAUAUCUGGAGGAACACCGAUGGCGAAGGCAGGUCACUGGGCCAUUACUGACGCUGAGGAGCGAAAGCAUGGGUAGCGAACAGG
rnacentral:rRNA from 2 species